ACAUGUCAAAGAGACACACACUAAAUUAGCAGGGAGUGUUAUAAAAGCUUUGGAGUGCAAGCUCACAGCUGUCUUAAUAAGAAGAGAAGGCUUCAAUGGAACCUUUUGUGGUCCUGGUGCUGUGUCUCUCUUUUAUGCUUCUCUUUUCACUCUGGAGACAGAGCUCUGGGAGAAGGAAGCUCCCUCCUGGCCCCACUCCUCUUCCUAUUAUUGGAAAUAUGCUACAGAUAGAUGUUAAGGACAUCUGCAAAUCUUUCAGCAAUGUAAGUAUGCCUUAAGUUCCUCCAGCCAAUUGCAAAGGUUCUCAAAAGUCUAUGGUCCUGUGUUCACCGUGUAUUUUGGCAUGAAUCCCAUAGUGGUGUUGCAUGGAUAUGAGGCAGUGAAGGAAGCCCUGAUUGAUAAUGGAGAGGAGUUUUCUGGAAGAGGCAGUUCCCCAAUAUCUCAAAGAAUUACUAAAGGACUUGGUAGGUGCACAUAUUUCUGUGUCAGCUUUGGUAAUUGGGGUGAGGGGGAUGGAAAACAGAGCCCUAAAAACUUCUCAGCAGAGCUUAGCCUAUCUGCAUGGCUGCCGAGUGUUGCAGCACUUUCUUCCUUGGCUGUGAAUUCUCCCAGUUUCUGCCCCUUUUUUUAUUAGGAAUCAUUUCCAGCAAUGGAAAGAGAUGGAAGGAGAUCCGGCGUUUCUCCCUCACAACCUUGCGGAAUUUUGGGAUGGGGAAGAGGAGCAUUGAGGACCGUGUUCAAGAGGAAGCUCACUGCCUUGUGGAGGAGUUAAGAAAAACCAAGGCCUCACCCUGUGAUCCCACUUUCAUCCUGGGCUGCGCUCCCUGCAAUGUGAUCUGCUCCGUUGUUUUCCAGAAACGAUUUGAUUAUAAAGAUCAGAAUUUUCUCACCCUGAUGAAAAGAUUCAAUGAAAACUUCAGGAUUCUGAACUCCCCAUGGAUCCAGGUCUGCAAUAAUUUCCCUCUACUCAUUGAUUGUUUCCCAGGAACUCACAACAAAGUGCUUACAAAUGUUGCUCUUACACAAAGUUACAUUAGGGAGAAAGUAAAAGAACACCAAGCAUCACUGGAUGUUAACAAUCCUCGGGACUUUAUCGAUUGCUUCCUGAUCAAAAUGGAGCAGGAAAAGGACAACCAAAAGUCAGAAUUCAAUAUUGAAAACUUGGUUGGCACUGUAGCUGAUCUAUUUGUUGCUGGAACAGAGACAACAAGCACCACUCUGAGAUAUGGACUCCUGCUCCUGCUGAUGCACCCGGAGGUCACAGCUAAAGUCCAGGAAGAGAUUGAUCAUGUAAUUGGCAGACACAGGACCCCCUGCAUGCAGGAUAGGAGCCACAUGCCUUACACUGAUGCUGUAGUGCACGAGAUCCAGAGAUACAGUGACCUUGUCCCCACCGGUGUGCCCCAUGCAGUGACCACUGAUACUAAGUUCAGAAACUACCUCAUCCCCAAGAGCUUUGAUAACAAGAUAAUGCUGGCUGCAUAAAACUAGGGCACAACCAUAAUGACAUUACUGACUUCCGUGCUACACGAUGACAAAGAAUUUCCUAAUCCAAAUAUCUUUGACCCUGG
rnacentral:sRNA from 1 species